UACAGAGGUCCCAAGCGUUGUUCGGAUUCACUGGGCGUAAAGGGUGCGUAGGUGGUCGGGUAAGUCUGAUGUGAAAUCUCGGAGCUCAACUCCGAAACUGCAUUGGAUACUAUUCGGCUUGAGAGUUGGAGGGGGGACUGGAAUUCUCGGUGUAGCAGUGAAAUGCGUAGAUAUCGAGAGGAACACCAGUGGCGAAGGCGAGUCCCUGGACAACUUCUGACACUGAGGCACGAAAGCUAGGGGAGCAAACAGG
rnacentral:rRNA from 1 species